rnacentral:lncRNA from 1 species
CCCGAAGUAAGUAACUGCUGAACGGACCAGCUGACAGAUGGGAAAUCCUUGCACGGAGCUAUGACAAGGGGAAGUCUGUGGGAAAAGGUUACAAUUAGCUCAGGGGAGAAAGAUAUUAUUUGCUGGACCUCAUCGAAUUCCAAAACAAGUGGUGAAUAUGUGACAAGACGAAAUUCUGGCAAGAGGAAGGGCGCUCCUGACAGAUGUGUGUUCCUGCAGCCCCCUGCAUAUGUGGAGAGCCCCAAGGGCGAGGCUUCCGCUAGAACUGUCAGGAAGAGUCAACAAGAACCCAAAGAAAUGUCCUCAUCCCAGAACCCAGAGGUGAAGCCAGAAAUUCUCACAAGGCUAAUGACAAAAAAACCUGACAUUUGUCUAAAAGAGCUCAGACUGGGAGAAAAUGCACAGCCCCUGAAGGGACAGUUGUAUGAACCUGAGAGGGGAUUUUAAACCCCAGUUGCAAGUCAGAGCAAGAGGUCA